UACAGAGGUCCCAAGCGUUGUUCGGAUUUACUGGGCGUAAAGGGUGCGUAGGUGGCGGGGUAAGUCUGGUGUGAAAGCUCCGAGCUCAACUCGGAAAAGCAUUGGAAACUAUCCCGCUUGAGGGUCGGAGGGGAGACUGGAAUUCUCGGUGUAGCAGUGAAAUGCGUAGAGAUGUGGAGGAACACCGAUGGCGAAGGCAGCCUCCUGGGCCAGCACUGACGCUCAUGCACGAAAGCGUGGGGAGCAAACAGG
rnacentral:rRNA from 1 species